CAUACCAUAUAAUAUCUUUCUUAUAAAUGUCAUUGACAAACCAAUCUCCUCAAACACCAGUUUCAUUCAUCUAACUUCUUCAAUCCAAAAAUGGCGAAUGCUCGUAUUGCAAAGUUUGUUACUGAAGCAGCACCACCACAGUUUGUAAAUGUAAUGAGAAAUCGAGCAUCGAAGAUGUUAGAGACGAUCAAAGAAGAUGAUAGAGAAGCAGCUAGCUCGAACGAGUCAUCAAUUUCUUCGAAUUAUUCGAGUUCAUCUUCAAAAUCUAUGAAUUCUAAGUAUUUUCUUAAAAAAGUUCAAAGGUCUUUUCCUUUAUUUGGAACUAAAGCCUCUUCUUAGUUAGGCUCUCUUUAUUAAUAUUCAGGGUUUAGGGUUCAGAGUUUAGGGUCUUUAUAUUAAUGUUUAUCCGAUGUCCGCAGAACUUGAGUAGAGUGACUAGAGUCCAAGAUUUGCUGAGACUAGAUAAAUGUUGAUGAAAUGUAACUAAAGAGAAAAGUGAAAUCAGUCCAUAUGAGUACUGGUUAAGUUUGUACGGUAGUUUUAUAAUGGAUCGUAUAGUACAAAAAUAACAUAACCUAUAUGAUCCCAUGGGUGAAGUGUGGAAAGGAUAGGGUGUACGCAUACCUUACCCUUAUCUUGUGUGAGAUAGAAAAGUCGUUUCCGAUAAUAUGUUGUAUCGUAUAUAUAUAUUAUCCAUCCAAAAUCAGUCAUAGUGAAGCAAGAUAUUAAAAGUUAUUUUUCAUUAUUAUCAGUCUCUCUUUCAAUAAUAUUUGGUUGAAGUUCAAACAAUGAUAGAGUAUUUGAAGUUGAAGUAGAAACAAACGAGUAUUUAAAUGUUGAGUUGUAUUUGAGUAUAAAUUUUCACUAUGGAGAGUAUUUUUGACCUUAGCUAUGUUAUUAAUAACAUAGCUAGUGUAAUCCUACAGAUGGAGUCUGGGGAGGGCAGAGUGUACGCAGAUCUUGCCCCUACCCAGGGGCGGAUCUAGAGUGUAAUAUAUGGGUUCCCGGGAACCCAGUAACUUUUGCGUAGACCCUGUAUUUUUGUUAAAAAAUUUAUUAAAUAUCUAUUUGUGAACCCAGUUAUUAUUGUAUAUUAAUUUGAAAUUGUGACAGGAACCCAUAUACUUAAAAUCCUGGAUCCGCCUCUACCCCUACCUACCUUGUGUGAGAUAGAGAGGUUGUUUCCGAUAAUAUAUUGUGUCGUAUAUUAUCCAUCCAAAAUCGGUCAUAGUGAAGCAAGAUAUCAAAAGUUAUUUUUCAUUAUUAUUAUUAGGCUCUCUUUGCACAAUAUUUGGUUGAAGUUCAAAAAACGAUAGAGUAUUUGAAGUUGAAGUAAAAAAGACGAGUAUUUAAAUUUGAGUUGUGUUUGAAUAUAAAUUUCCACUACGAAGAGUAUUUUUAACCUUAGUCAAAAGUACAUGAAUAAAUUCAGACUUUUUUCGAAGUAUUUUAACACGUGUCAAGAUUUUGAUCGAGUUCAAAGCUCACAGUUCAGUUAGAGCUUCAUUACGUAAACGAGGUAAAAUUAAAUUUUUUUUGUAUAGUAAAGGGGUGAAUUUGUAAAGGAAAAAAUAAAUUGUCCUCACUUAGUGUAAGUCACAAUUUGAUGCAAACACUAGAUGCGGAAAACCUUUGGGUUGCCUAAACAAACACUUGAAUCUAGGAAUACAUUUUUUGAAAUAUAAAUAAAAAAAACAGUCAUAAAAUAAAAAGAAUUUUUUUGAUCUGAAAAAUCUCAUUAGAGGAAAGAAAAAUUGAUUUCUUUUACUCUUCUUCCCUAUCUGAUUAUCUUCCUCUAGUGGGGUUUUUCUAUUUUCUUUUAUAUCCUUUAUCAACAUUCACAUAUCCUUGAAUCCUGUUAUGUUUUUUUUUUUUUUUAAAAGAAAGAAAGUAAAUCUAUCAUUCCUUGAAAGAAUAUACAUAUGAACGUUUCUUCAAGGGAAUAUUCUCACUUAUUUUCUUUGAACACUUUGGUAAUUUUGUAUUUGAUAUAAAUGUUUAUUAUUUUAGGCAUUUCUUGUUGGAUAGUAGUAAGUUGAUCAAAAUCCAAACAUGGAUUUAUUAUGAUCAUGAUAAAUAUUGAAUCUUUUAGCAUUAACUGCAAUUAGAUCCAUUUUUUGAAGCCUAUAUUCAUAUUACUAGUAUCAAUUAUCAAUCAUUUUUGUUUGGUAUAAUUUCUUAAAUGAUUCUCUUAUUAUAGACACAAGCAAGAUUAUUGUUACAUUUUUUUUAUUGUUGUUACUGCUUGUUGAUACUGCUCAUUUUGGUUUUGUCCUUGAGCCGAGUGUCCUCGGAAACAGUCUCUCUACCUUCACAGGGUAGGGGUAAGAUCUGCAUACAUAUUACCCUCCCCGGAUCCCAUUUGUGGGACGAUACUGAGUAUGUUGUUGUUGUAUGUUUGAUGUUUGAAAUCGGCAUGGCAAUGUCCAAAAUCGACGUUGAAUCGUUACAAGAAACACUUAAUAUUCAAGAACAACUUAUAGAGAAGCUAUACAAUGAGUUGGAUGAAGAAAGUGAAGCCUCAGCUAGUGCUGCUAGUGAAGCGUUAUCGAUGAUUUUACGUCUUCAAGGCGAAAAGGCUGCAGAGGAAAUGGAAGCAGAACAAUAUAAGAGAUUUGUAGAGGAAAAAAUGUGUCAUGCAGACGAGUCAUUAUCCAUUUUUCAAGAUCUUAUUCAUGAAAAAGAGAUGGAAAUAGUUGCUUUAGAUUAUCAAACACAUGCUUAUCGAUAUAAGUUAUUAAGUAUAGGCUGUGAUGAUAUUGAAUUUAAUGAGGAUUUGUUUCAUAAGAAUGAAAGUUUUGAUCAAGAAAUGAGUGUUCAAGCUAUUGGGAGGUGUAAAUCAGCUCCAAAUAUUCCACAGAAAUAUGCUAAUCAGAUAAAGGGAAAUCUUGAUAAAGAUGAAUAUAUAUAUCAGUCAAGAACGCGAUUUGAAUGAUACUUCAAUGGAUGGAAGUAUAGAUUUAUACUGUGAGAAGAUUGAAAAGUUGGAAGAAAGAGUGAAACAGAUUGCUGGUGCUAACUAUGCGAAAUCGUGCAGUAGUGAGAUGAAGUCACAUUUACCACUUUCUAAAAGAAACUCUUGUAACAAUUUCCUCGACGUUUACCAAGUUAAGCAUCGAGGAAAUAAUCAGAAAAUGGAACGUCUGUGCGUUCUGCUUCUCCUCCGAAUGUUCUUGAUGUAUUUGAAGUCCCUCGAGCUAUUAAAGACGACGAUAAGAUGAUAUGGAAGAGCGAUGAAAGACAACAUUUUGUCCCAAAAGAGGCUGUGAAACAACUUGUUAAAGAUCAAACUGAUUGCCUUAAGAAAUAUUUAGUACCUAUGCAGCAUGAGAACAAUUUACAUAAAGUAGGUGAAGCUGCUGCAGUCGACUGUCAUUUGGCGAUUUGCACUACAACUAGUGCUACAGAAACAGAAGAGAUUCGUCGUCUAAAUAGGACGACUGAGAUAGUUGAAGUUGAGGUACAAGGCAAGAAUCCGACAGACACGAAGAACUAAUGUUGUUACAUGAGAUUAAGGAGCAAAUAAAUUUGAUGCAAUCUGAAGUUAGAAGUUGGAAAAAUAAGAAAUCCCCUACAAGAGAUGAGUUAUCUGUAGUUUCUCUAACAGAGGUAAUGGUUUGCUUUUGGCUCUGAUAUCAGCUAUCAAAAAUCUUUCAAAUUCUAGAUGUUAGAAAUUUGUACUUAUUAUGCUUUUUUUGAGUAUUGUAACAGUCCUUUUGGCAUUUUUACAAGAAUGCCCACAAAGGGGUGAUUUGAUUAUAAAAUUGAUCACUA